GAUGAACGCUGGCGGCGUGCCUAAUACAUGCAAGUCGAGCGAACAGACGAGGAGCUUGCUCCUCUGACGUUAGCGGCGGACGGGUGAGUAACACGUGGAUAACCUACCUAUAAGACUGGGAUAACUUCGGGAAACCGGAGCUAAUACCGGAUAAUAUAUUGAACCGCAUGGUUCAAUAGUGAAAGACGGUUUUGCUGUCACUUAUAGAUGGAUCCGCGCCGCAUUAGCUAGUUGGUAAGGUAACGGCUUACCAAGGCAACGAUGCGUAGCCGACCUGAGAGGGGGAUCGGCCACACUGGAACUGAGACACGGUCCAGACUCCUACGGGAGGCAGCAGUAGGGAAUCUUCCGCAAUGGGCGAAAGCCUGACGGAGCAGCGCCGCGUGAGUGAUGAAGGUCUUCGGAUCGUAAAACUCUGUUAUUAGGGAAGAACAAAUGUGUAAGUAACUAUGCACGUCUUGACGGUACCUAAUCAGAAAGCCACGGCUAACUACGUG
rnacentral:rRNA from 1 species